GCAUUGAUCUGUGGAGGAAUU
rnacentral:piRNA from 1 species